CAAAUGCGAUAAGUAAUGUGAAUUGCAGAGUUCCGUGAAUCAUCGAAUUUUUGAACGCAUAUUGCGCCUUUUGGUAAUCCAAAAGGCAUGCCUGUCUGAGCGUCAUUACAUCAUUCAAGUAGAAGUUUUUUUUUUACUUGGUGUUGGAAUUUGACAUUAUCUUGUGUAAUGUCUGUUCUGUAAUGAAUGAUUGCAGUCUAUUGACACUUUUAGUUGUAGUAUAACCAUCGACUUGAAAAGACCUUAGACCUAGUCACCUUUAAAAUCAGUCUCCGGAUUGAAAUCUUUUGAAGUUUGACCUCAGAUCAGGUAGGACUACCCGCUGAACUUAA
rnacentral:misc_RNA from 1 species